rnacentral:sRNA from 1 species
UACCUGGGCCACGAGGGCGAUGGCGCAUU